rnacentral:lncRNA from 8 species
AAGGGGAUUCUUUUUAUCACUUGGUUUAUAAUUGGUAGGAAUGGGAAUUUUCAUAACUGUUCCUUCCUCUUUCAUUUUGUCUUUCUCUACAGGUGACUACUGUGAAAUCAACAUUGAUGAGUGUCUAUCAGGGCCGUGCAGACACAAUAGCACGUGUUUGGACCUGGCCAAUGGCUAUGAAUGUGUCUGUCUACCCGGCUUUACUGGCGCUGGGUUUGAGUUCGACAUUGACGAGUGUGCCUCUUCUCCCUGCAAGAACGGAGCCACUUGCAUUGACCAGCCUGGCAAUUACCACUGUCAGUGUGUGGCUCCAUUCAAAGGUAAUGAACACUGAGAGGGACUGUGUGUGUGUGUGUGUGUGUGUGUGUGUGUGUGUGUGUGUGUGUGUGUGUGUGUGUGUGUGUGUGUGUGUGUGUGUGUGUGUGUGUGUGUGUCACAGUGUGCAUGUGUCUUAAUUUGAAAGGUAAUGCACACUGAGGGAAUGGGGACGAUCACCAAAGUUAAUUAACCUCCCUGAGCGUCCCUCUCUCACCUGCCUGAACUCAUUCUGCUGCAGUCUACAGCAAUGUUAGUAAGGCUUCAUUCUCUGGUUGUGGCGAUGCUCGACAAAGAAGAUGAAACCCAUUGCUAAUCUACCAGAUGGUGUAUCUAUUUCUCAUUAUGUCUUAGUGUUGUAUGGCCUUGGUCCCCACUAAUGUAUUAUGUCUUAGUGCUGUAUAGCCUUGGUCCCCACUAAUGUGUUGUGUCUUAGUGCUGUAUAGCCUUGGUCCCCACUAAUGUAUUAUGUCUUAGUGCUGUAUAGCCUUGGUCCCCACUAAUGUGUUGUGUCUUAGUGCUGUAUAGCCUUGGUCCCCACUAAUGUGUUGUGUCUUAGUGCUGUAUGGCCUUGGUCCCCACUAAUGUAUUGUGUCUUAGUGCUGUAUAGCCUUGGUCCCCACUAAUGUGUUGUGUCUUAGUGCUGUAUAGCCUUGGUCCCCACUAAUGUGUUAUGUCUUAGUGCUGUAUGGCCUUGGUCCCCACUAAUGUGUUGUGUCUUAGUGCUAUAUAGCCUUGGUCCCCACUAAUGUGUUGUGUCUUAGUGCUGCAUAGCCUUGGUCCCCACUAAUGUGUUAUGUCUUAGUGCUGUAUGGCCUUGGUCCCCACUAAUGUGUUGUGUCUUAGUGCUGUAUAGCCUUGGUCCCCACUAAUGUGUUGUGUCUUAGUGCUGUAUAGCCUUGGUCAACUAGUGCCCUAUAAAAUCUGUUGAAGUUUUGACCAAAUUCCGUUUUGUUUGGU